rnacentral:misc_RNA from 1 species
AAAGUCGUAACAAGGUUUCCGUAGGUGAACCUGCGGAAGGAUCAUUACUAGAGCAAAGGAUAGACAGCGCCCCACAGAAGCUUGCUUCGUGGCGGGCUACCCUACUGAAGUAGGGUUUAGAGUCGUCGGGCCUCUCAGAGAAGCUCGGUCCUGAACUCCACCCUUGAAUAAAUUACCUUUGUUGCUUUGGCGGGCCGCCUCGUGCCAGCGGCUUCGGCUGUUGAGUGCCCGCCAGAGGACCACAACUCUUGUUUUUAGUGAUGUCUGAGUACUAUAUAAUAGUUAAAACUUUCAACAACGGAUCUCUUGGUUCUG